rnacentral:rRNA from 1 species
GAUGAACGCUGGCGGCGUGCUUAACACAUGCAAGUCGAACGAUGAAGCCCAGCUUGCUGGGUGGAUUAGUGGCGAACGGGUGAGUAACACGUGAGUAACCUGCCCUUAACUCUGUGAUAAGCCUGGGAAACUGGGUCUAAUACCGGAUAGCAGCGUCCACCGCAUGGUGGGUGUUGGAAAGAUUGAUCGGUUUUGGAUGGACUCGCGGCCUAUCCGCUUUUUGGUGAGGUAAUGGCUCACCAAGGCGACGACGGGUAGCCGGCCUGAGAGGGUGACCGGCCACACUGGGACUGAGACACGGCCCAGACUCCUACGGGAGGCAGCAGUGGGGAAUAUUGCACAAUGGGCGCAAGCGUGAUGCAGCGACGCCGCGUGAGGGAUGACGGCCUUCGGGUUGUAAACCUCUUUCAGUAGGGAAGAAGCGAAAGUGACGGUACCUGCAGAAGAAGCACCGGCUAACUACGUG